UACGUAGGGGGCAAGCGUUGUCCGGAAUCAUUGGGCGUAAAGAGCGUGUAGGCGGCUCGGUAAGUCCGCUCUGAAAGCCCGGGGCUCAACCCCGGGAGGCGGGCGGAUACUGUCGGGCUAGAGUCCGGAAGAGGCGAGUGGAAUUCCUGGUGUAGCGGUGAAAUGCGCAGAUAUCAGGAGGAACACCAAUUGCGAAGGCAGGUUACUAAGCAACAACUGACGCUGAUGGACGAAAGCGUGGGGAGCGAACAGG
rnacentral:rRNA from 1 species